CUCCCUGACGGGUCUCACACAUAUGGGUGGGGAAGCCCGCGGGGACACACCCCGAGGGGGCAGGAAAGGCUCUCACUCACAUGCCGUCCACUUUAACCGGGGAGAUGGGGUUACGCCCCCUUCCCCUAACCCAGAAUCAGGUGGUGGCAGCGCCCCGAAGAUCCCAGGGACCGCAAUUAUGAUGCUCCCUUUGUUUAAUGCCAGGAGGCAGCGGACACAUUGUGAUUCUUUACAGGGUGUUUGCCAAACAUUUAUGGGUGGAGGGAACAGAAGCUCUGGCCCUUCCACCUUGUUCUCCAGCCACUUUCCAGCUAAACACACACACACAUAUGCACACACACAUACUAUUGUUAAAUUCAAACACCCUGGGUUUGGUUUUUGCUGGUGGGGGUGGAGUGGAGUUCCUGGAGAAGCAAAGCAGUCCUAAAUCACCGAGUUGAUGGGUCUUUUGGGUGUUCCCACCAGUCCUUACUGAUCUCUACAAAAUCCCAAGUUACCAAGCUCUUCAACAAAUAGAAGACAGCUGUCAAACACCAUGGGCUACAGAUACAACGGGCAUAUUCGUAAGCAUAGUAGCUGUUGAUAGUUCUGGAAUUUGGAGCAAACACUUAUUCAUUGAACAGCUAUGUACUGAGUCCCUACCUUGUCAGGCACUGGCUAGGCACGGGAAUAAACGGAGAGCAUAAAUAAGAUAACCUGCUCUCAGAAGAUGCCAACAUAAACCGCAUAGUCUCUGCUAAUGAAUGUAAUUACAAACUGAGAUAAGGGAUCUCAAGGGAAAACAUGCUUCUGAAGUGAACCCACAACAAAGGAAUCAGACCAGACUGGUGGGUGAGGGCAGGCUUCCCUGAGAAAGUGACAGGAGUUGAGAUCUGGAGAAGGGAGAAUUAAGUAAGCAAGUGGAGAGGAAGUGCUCCCAGGCAGCCCCAUGUGCCCCUGGCAGGCCAUAGAGCAAACCUGUAGGGCAGCAUUGAACAGCUUUGAAGAGCAAACUAGAGCUACAGAAUUCUUUGGUCAAGACCAAACAUCUGCCUCUACUGUAUAUUCACAAACCAAAUGUCCAUUCUUCCUCCCUACUCUUAGAACCUCCCCCAAAGAUUCCACAUGAGACAGGAGAGAAAGGAGCAUUAAUAUCCUCACAUUUACCAUCCAGCCACUCUGGUUGUCGAAGCAGCUAAAUCUCAAAUUUACCUUUAUUAGUCUUAUAGAUUAUAAUUCAGAUCAUGCAGACAAGAAGAACCAAGGAACUUUGUUCCUGGCUUCCACUCCUCUGUUAUCAAUGUUGCAUGGAAACAAACAAACAAAAAAUUCUAAGGCCUUUCUCAGACAUACAACAGAUUGUUUAUGUUGCAUCUAUGAGUCAGUUCUUCACUGCUGUUAUUGGUAUGUCUAUUUACUGAACACCCUGCAUGGCUUUGUAAGUAAACUGAAUAGGACCCUGCAUUCUCUACUUAAAUAGAGCCAUCUUUCAGAAGAGUGAUAACAAAUGACUUAAUUUGGAAGAUUCACUCAAGAUCCAAUUUGAUUCAUCGCGGACAUGCCUGCACCUAAGUUCCUGGGGCCAAAGUGAGGAGGCAGCAGUUCUCCACCCAAUCAGACCAUCAUCCUCUUUUUGUAACUAGUAUCUUUAACACUCCCCUUACUAUCCUGAAAGGCUGAGCGAGUACUGGGAAAAAGGAAAUACCCAGACAUUUGAGGGAUCACUGACACUGCUUCUGAAUUAAUGCUAAUUCCUGAGGAUUGCAAACACCACUGGAUCCACCAAUCAAAAUGGGGAUCUAUGAGUGAAGUUUAUUAUGAAAAAUCAGAUUCAUCAAGUGACUCUUCAGUCAACAACUGUUCAAGAACGCUGUUAACAUCACGUGUAGGAAUGCUACGUUUUCUAGAAUUUGACAUUUUCAGCAAUCGAGAAUUACUAUAUUUUGUAAACAGAAAUGCCACUACUAGAAACAGAAUGCUAUAAAUAGAAUGACGUCUUUUGUUUUCAAGGUCAAUAUGUCAGAGCGAUGCAAAAAUAAUAAAAGUGAGAUAUUUCAUGGCAAAGUUAUCUCAGGGUAAACAUUGCAUCCACAAGCGCUGCUGGCGCAUAUUCUCGGGGCAA
rnacentral:lncRNA from 1 species